rnacentral:rRNA from 1 species
UACAGAGGUCCCAAGCGUUGUUCGGAUUCACUGGGCGUAAAGGGUGCGUAGGUGGUUGGGUAAGUUUGAUGUGAAAGCUCUGGGCUCAACCCAGAAAUGGCAUUGAAUACUAUCCGACUUGAGGAGUGGAGGGGGGACUGGAAUACUUGGUGUAGCAGUGAAAUGCGUAGAUAUCAAGUGGAACACCAGUGGCGAAGGCGAGUCCCUGGACAAUUCCUGACACUGAGGCACGAAAGCGAGGGGAGCAAACAGG